UACGAAGGGGGCUAGCGUUGUUCGGAAUUACUGGGCGUAAAGCGCAUGUAGGCGGUUCUUUAAGUCAGGGGUGAAAUCCCGGGGCUCAACCCCGGAAUUGCCUUUGAUACUGGAGAGCUAGAGUUUGGGAGAGGUGAGUGGAAUUCCGAGUGUAGAGGUGAAAUUCGUAGAUAUUCGGAGGAACACCAGUGGCGAAGGCGGCUCACUGGCCCGAAACUGACGCUGAGAUGCGAAAGCGUGGGGAGCAAAUAGG
rnacentral:rRNA from 1 species